rnacentral:lncRNA from 1 species
GUAAAAUGACAAGCAUAUGCCUGAACUCAAAAAAGUGAUGUCAUCUUAACUACUGAGAAGUGGGCGGGGAGUACUCGAGGCUUUUUAAUGGUUGUUCUUAAGUACAUUAAAUGCCUCCCUUUUCUGUCUUCAGCUCAUCACCGAUCCUAAGGAAUUCAAGUGCCUCCCAGGAUGAAUACAGGUUGUCUUGAUGGUGAUACAUUCAUCUGUCUUAAGAUCCCUGCUGAUCUGCUCAUGGUCAAACUCAUGGAAAGAGUUGAGAGUGGUGAGUACUUGUAACCUUGGUUAUAACUUGUCUCCAGUGCCAGUGAGGAGAGCAAGCAUCCUGUCUUAACCCCUGUCCUAGCCCCAGAGCCAGUAAUGGUGAACCCACUGGGGCUAACAGGGAGAGAGGAUGAAAACAUGUUCCGUAAGGAACUGUCUGAGGUACAGCAACUGCCAAUGGGUAGCAUUUGUUUAGCUUCCCUUGGCUUACAUAUUAGCUGGGAUCCUUUUGGUUUUUUAAGGUACUCUACUGAUUUCAUGAUCUUCUCAUUCAGGGGCACCUUGUUCCUGCAUCCUCAAAGGAGCAUCUUGUUCCUCUAUUUAAGCUUCCAGAGUUAAAAGGUUAGUUGAUUAAUGUCACCAUAAUAUAUGCCACCAAGUAAGCAGUUUCUGUGAUGAAUCAAACUAGCUCACUAUGAACUAACAAUGAAAAGAUAUGAACACCUGAGAAACUGGAGAACAGAGCAGUGGGAUACUGUCUGCUAGGAACUUAAUAUCACUUACAGUUUUGUCCUUUCCUAGGUACCUGUACCAUUUAGCGGCUUGUUCACUCAAAGGUGAGUGAUUUAUAUGUUGGCACAUACAGUGUACUGAGGGAGAAAAUGCCUUUUUAGGCAUCUACACAUGAUGACUUACAUGGAAUCUCGUUCGGCUGAUGAUUUGCUGUUGAGACUCGGAAAUCUGAUUUUUUUUUUCUUUUAAGAACUUAAGUGGGAACAAAUUUUAAUGUAGGAAGUAAGCAUUACUGACUCAUUCUUGUUUUGUUUUAGAUCCAUCUUUUCUGGAGCCUGAGGAUGAUUGGAGGUAAAUCUGUUUAUCUAUGGCUGCUAUGUAAAGUUUGCCAGUUUUUGUGUGGCACUUUGGAUAGUUGUGCAGGUAUUACUUAAUCCAAAGUCUGCCUUUGGCCAUUUGUGAACCACCUGAAACAGAUUUCUGCUCACAUGAUGAGUUUGAUACCGCCCCAGUCUGAUCACUAUGACUGAAAGGUAUUUUCUGAGCUGUGAGUUUGCCUUAGAGUGGGAAGUUAGUCUUUUUAUAAAAUGUCUGUUGAGACCUACACAGCCUAUUAGGGUGUCCCAUUCCUUUGGUAAUGUGUUGACUUAGUUCCCAAUCUCUGUUUUGCAGGUGAAAGGUGUAAGCCAUACUCUGCUCAACUCCAGUCUGAAACUAAGGUUAAAAGAACACGUACUUAACACACGGGUAAGUAAGUAUCCAUUCACGUACUUGUGUUAAAUAUCAGACUAACUAUAUAAAUACAAAAGUACAUUAGAGCAGCGCUUUUAGUGUUAACUGGUUGAAAGGAUAGUAUGUUCUAAGUCCGUUUUAGUAACUAAGUCCGUUUUAGUAAGAACCCUAAACUGUUCUUUUUCUCUGCAGGAAUCCAACUCUUGGAGGACAUCAGAAGUGGAAUUUUCUUAUACAACCUACCUAUUCAAAUUAGCAUAUAAUCUUUCUAGCCUUUCUAAAUAAAUAAAGGGAUUUUUUUGUAAA